rnacentral:rRNA from 1 species
GUUUGGGGGCCUUCGGGAGGCAGCAGUGGGGAAUUUUGGACAAUGGGCGCAAGCCUGAUCCAGCAAUGCCGCGUGAGUGAAGAAGGCCUUCGGGUUGUAAAGCUCUUUUGUCAGGGAAGAAACGGUUCCGGCUAAUAUCCGGGGCUAAUGACGGUACCUGAAGAAUAAGCACCGGCUAACUACGUGCCAGCAGCCGCGGUAAUACGUAGGGUGCAAGCGUUAAUCGGAAUUACUGGGCGUAAAGCGUGCGCAGGCGGUUUUGUAAGUCUGACGUGAAAGCCCCGGGCUCAACCUGGGAAUUGCGUUGGAGACUGCAAGGCUUGAAUCUGGCAGAGGGGGGUAGAAUUCCACGUGUAGCAGUGAAAUGCGUAGAGAUGUGGAGGAACACCGAUGGCGAAGGCAGCCCCCUGGGUCAAGAUUGACGCUCAUGCACGAAAGCGUGGGGAGCAAACAGGAUUAGAUACCCUGGUAGUCCACGCCCUAAACGAUGUCUACUAGUUGUCGGGUUUUAAUUAACUUGGUAACGCAGCUAACGCGUGAAGUAGACCGCCUGGGACUCA